rnacentral:rRNA from 1 species
AUUGAACGCUGGCGGCAGGCCUAACACAUGCAAGUCGAGCGGAUGAAGGGUGCUUGUUUGUGGAUUUAGCGGCGGACGGGUGUGUAAUGCCUAUGAAUCUGCUUGGCUGUGGGGGAUAAUGUCCGGAAACGGGCGCUAAUACUGCCUGCGUCCUGAGGGAGCAAGUGGGUGAUCUUUGGAACUGUUGCUAUCAUGUGAGUGUAGGUCGGGUUAGCUAGUUGGUGGGUUAAAGGCUUUCCAAGCCGACGAUCCGUAACUGGACUGAGAGGAUGAUCAGUCACACUGGAGCGGAGACACGGUCCAGACUCCUAAGAGAGGCAGCAGUGGGGAAUAUUGGGCAAUGGUCGAGAGCCUGAUCCAGCCAGGCGGCGUGUGUUAAGAAAGUCUUCGGAUUGGGAAGCACGUUAAGGUGGGGGAAAGGGCAGUAAGUUAAUACCUAGCUGUAUUGACGGUACCAACAGAAUAAGCACCGGUUAACUUCGUG